CUGUUUGAAACUUUCCAAGAUGAGAUGGGAUUCUCCAACAUGGAAGAUGAUGGCCCAGAAGAGGAGGAGCGUGUGGCUGAGCCUCAACCUAACACCCCUCAAGCUCUACGGUUUGAGGAACUACUGGCCAACCUACUAAAUGAACAACAUCAGAUAGCGAAGGAACUAUUUGAACAGCUGAAGAUGAAGAAAUCUUCAGCCAAACAGCAGAAGGAGGUAGAGAAGGUUAAACCCCAGUGUAAGGAAGUUCAUCAGACCCUGAUUCUGGACCCAGCACAGAGGAAGAGACUCCAGCAGCAGAUGCAGCAGCAUGUUCAGCUCUUGACGCAAAUCCACCUUCUUGCCACCUGCAACCCCAAUCUCAAUCCGGAGGCCAGUAGCACCAGGAUAUGUCUUAAAGAGCUGGGAACCUUUGCACAAAGCUCCAUCGCCCUUCACCAUCAGUACAACCCCAAGUUUCAGACCCUGUUCCAACCCUGUAACUUGAUGGGAGCUAUGCAGCUUAUUGAAGACUUCAGCACACAUGUCAGCAUUGACUGCAGCCCUCAUAAAACUGUCAAGAAGACUGGUAGGAGACAGAUGUGUCAGCUUUAAGUUUUUACUUGUGCCAAUGAAUUUCCCUGUUUGCCAAAGCAAGUGGCUUGGAUCCUGGCCACAAGCAAGGUUUUCAUGUAUCCAGAGUUACUUCCAGUGUGUUCCCUGAAGGCAAAGAAUCCCCAGGAUAAGAUCCUCUUCACCAAGGCUGAGGACAAUUUUAUAAGAAGACCAAACAACUGCCAGUCCUAGUAAAAUGCUGUGAAGAGAUCCAGCCACAUCAGUGGAAGCCACCUAUAGAGAGAGAAGAACACCGGCUCCCAUUCUGGUUAAAGGCCAGUCUGCCAUCCAUCCAGGAAGAACUGCGGCGCAUGGCUGAUGGUGCUAGAGAGGUAGGAAAUGUGACUGGAACCACUGA
rnacentral:sRNA from 1 species